GACGUAGGGCGCGAGCGUUGUCCGGAUUUAUUGGGCGUAAAGAGCUCGUAGGCGGUUUGUCGCGUCGACUGUGAAAACCUGCAGCUUAACUGUGGGCUUGCAGUCGAUACGGGCAGGCUAGAGUUCGGUAGGGGAGACUGGAAUUCCUGGUGUAGCGGUGAAAUGCGCAGAUAUCAGGAGGAACACCGGUGGCGAAGGCGGGUCUCUGGGCCGAUACUGACGCUGAGGAGCGAGAGCGUGGGGAGCGAAC
rnacentral:rRNA from 1 species